rnacentral:rRNA from 1 species
UUUUUGGAGAGUUUGAUUCUGGCUCAGAACGAACGUUGGCGGCGUGGUUAAGGCAUGCAAGUCGAACGAUCUUAUUGAGUUUUGAGGCCGCAAGGCCGAGAGACUUGAUUUGAUAGUGGCAAAAGGGUGAGGAAUACGUGGGUAAUCUACCUUCGGGAUCGGGAUAACACUCCGAAAGGAGUGCUAAUACCGGGUAAGACCACGGCUCCGCAUGGAGCUGCGGUAAAAGAUGGGGACCGUAAGGCCUAUCGUCUGAAGAGGAGCCCAUGUCCUAUCAGCUAGUUGGCGGGGUAACGGCCCACCAAGGCUUUUGACGGGUAGCUGGUCUGAGAGGAUGGUCAGCCACACUGGGACUGAGACACUGCCCAGACUCCUACGGGAGGCUGCAGUCGAGAAUCUUUCGCAAUGGGCGAAAGCCUGACGAUGCGACGCCGCGUGAGGGAUGAAGGUCUUCGGAUCGUAAACCUCUGUCACACGGGAAGAACGUCCUAUGGGUUAAUAACCCUGUGGGCUGACUGUACUGUGAGAGGAAGCCACGGCUAACUCCGUGCCAGCAGCCGCGGUAAUACGGAGGUGGCAAACGUUGUUCGGAUUUAUUGGGUGUAAAGGGUAUGUAGGCGGGCUUGUAAGUCGGAUGUGAAAUACUUUAGCUUAACUAAAGAACUGCAUUCGAAACUGCUUGUCUUGAGUUUGGGAGAGGAGAGUGGAAUUCUCGGUGUAAGGGUGAAAUCUGUAGAUAUCGAGAGGAACACCAGUGGCGAAAGCGACUCUCUGGACCAAAACUGACGCUGAAAUACGAAAGCUAGGGGAGCAAACAGGAUUAGAUACCCUGGUAGUCCUAGCCGUAAACGAUGAUCACUUGGUGCUGGGUCCUUAGGGCUCAGUGCCGAAGUUAACACAUUAAGUGAUCCACCUGGGGACUACGGCCGCAAGGUUGAAACUCAAAGAAAUUGACGGGGACCCGCACAAGCGGUGGAGCAUGUGGUUUAAUACGACGCUACACGUGGAACCUUACCAGGGCUUGAAAAGUGCAUGAAAUCUUUAUGAAAGUAGAGACCUCCUUUCCGGGACAUGCAUACAGGUGUUGCAUGGCUGUCGUCAGCUCGUGUCGUGAGAUGUUGGGUUAAGUCCCGCAACGAGCGCAACCAUCAUCUUUAGUUGCCAUCGGUUCGGCCGGGCACUCUAAAGAGAC